AAGUAACCAAAAUUGCUAAUUCAUGUUGCUGUAUGUAUAUUUUUGACCCAGCAGAUUUUGUCACUUUUUUCUGUUAACCCAUAAUAAAGUCAUAAAAGAACCAAACUUAAUGAAUACUUUUUUGACUAUUUGUUCCAAUCACUCUGUCAGAGAAACUCAAGAGAGCCAUAACAUUAUGUUCUUUACAAGUGUAUGUAAACGUUUGACCACAACUGUACGUGCCCAGAGAAAGAGAGCAAUAAAGCAGGAAAAAAUUGAAACUCUAGAACGGUAUGAUGACAUGUUGUGGGGUGCACAUUGAUUCUAAAUGGACUUUAGCCAAGAAGCAGAUAUUAAACAAUUUUUACAUAUAUAUAUAUAUAUAAUUGAAACAGUAUUAAUUAAAAGCUUGUGAUUCAAUUGAAUGAGAAAGUGUGCCAAACGUUUGACUGCUUUAGACAGUCAACUUGAAACUGGUUCAUAAGGAAAUCUAAGUCUGAUUCCAGGAGAAUAUUCUGAACUGAGAAAAGGCCUCGGGUCACAGAAGACAUUAUUUUUCCUACCGUGGUUUCCAGGGACAAGGUGGUGAUUCUUCAUCCCUUAUCUGAACAGUAUCGCUGUAGGUCACAGGGGAGGGGUAAUGUCUUCCUGGUACCCUGAUAAUGACAGGCCUUCCACUCCGGCUCCUUAAAGGUCACGACUAAUUCUCCCCAUCAGCCACUUUGACACCGUGCAGGGAGAAAAAGGCCAUAAAGCAGGGAAAUAUGAAACUCCUGAACUGUAUACAUGUUGUUGGGUGCCAUUGGUUCCAAAUGGACUUUAAUGCCACUGAGGUUGGUGCUCAGGUAAACAAGCAAGCAAAUCCCCGAGCUGAAGUGUCUAUGAGCAAUGCAUUAGUUCUACAAGCUCAAAAUCUAUGUUUAAAUGCACACAAAUAUAUAAUGUUUAUAUGACACGAUUCAAAUAUAUAUAUAUCAAAUAUCACAUUGUUGUCGUAAUUUGUUGCCUUUUGUUUUUGCUUAUGACUGAUGACCCUCAUCAACGACAGAGAAAGAAGAGUGGGGAUUGGAUUCAUUUCGCGGGAAGAGACCCAGCCAGUAAAUGAGCCCAUAGCUGAAAAUAGCCCCCAAAACAUCCAUCUCCUCCUUUUUCAGUUACUGUUGACAAGACAUAAACAAAAGAAACAUCAACACAAAAUAAAAGAGUUUUUUCAAGUACUUUUACGCAAUUUACAGAGUACUUAUAAUGUGGUAUGAAUGUUUUGGAGACACUUGUGAUUGUUGAAUGAUGGAAAUAAGAAAUGUCAUGAUGUAAGCUGCCCUUUGAAACAGUGCAGAGGGACAGCAUUGCUUUACAUAUGAAUGAGAGUUUAAAAUGAGUCAUAAUCAGUGAGUAGUAUAGGGGGGGUGUAGGAGAAUGGGUCAAAAGAAAUAGCCUGAUUAAGGUUUUACCUGUUUUUUGGCAAAACCCUUCUUAUCUAGGCUUUAUCUAUCAAUCAACACUGUCAGAAAACGUGCAGCAGCGUUCCACGUCUUCAGCAGUUAAAAGAUUUGGUUUUGUAAUAAGCAGGUCUGAGGGAAAAGACCCAACCCUGUUGUCAGGCAGAAAGGGACUGGACGAUCACAGUGGGGUUCUGCGUCCUCCCCUCUUUCCGUCCAGACAGACGCCUGUUGCUGUCUGCAGGCAGGCGACGCCACAUCCUCUGUUUCCAAUAAAUCACAGAUGCAAAGACCAUCUGUGUCAGGACACUGAUCAUAUCAGGGAGCCCGACUUCUGCACAAGCAAUGACCUGACAUAAGUAGGUAUGAUAAGCCCACUUUAUGACAGCAGUUCACAUUUAGACACACCUAUUCAACACUGAGUCGGGGAAGAAUUGAAUGAUAGCUGUGACUGUCACUAUAAUUUAUUGGAUUAUAAUGGCAAUGCCAAUGUAAUACAUCUAUGUAACAGACGGCUGUCCAGUCAGCUGCAUCAUUAACUUACUCCUCUGAUCUUUUCUUAUUGACACAGUGUACUGUAUUUAUUAAAGAGACCUUCCUGCCCCUGUUAAUUCAUGACAGCCUCCAGUCUUCGUGGUGCAGUGUGCCACUUAUCUAUUACAUUGCAACCAGGCUGAUUUACAAUUAAACUGUCAUCACACUGUGGAUAUGAAAAGUUUACACACCCCUUUUAUGGGGAAAGAUUGUGCACAUCCUCUUAUAAAAGGGGAGGUUACUGUGUUCAUAGUUAACCAACCACAUUCAAACUCUGACUGACUACUAUGUUAAAUAGUAGUCAGUCAGUUAAAUAGUAGUCAGUGCAAACGAGUCAUCAUUCAAAGGGAUGCUGAUUGAUGUCAAAUAAAGUUCAGCUGUUCUAAUAGGAUUUUUCUGACAUUUUCUUAGUUGCAUCUUGCAGAAAAAAAGUCAUGGUCAGCAAAGAGCUUCCAAAGCAGCAUCAUACCCACAGUGAAGCAUGGGGGGCAGCAUCAUGCUUUGGGGCUGUUUUUCUUCAGCUGGAAGUGGGGCCAGUCGAGGUGGGGCAUUAUGAACGGCUCCGAAAACAAGUCAAUUUUGGCACAAAAUCUUCAGGCUUCCGUUGAAGAUGAAGAGGACUUUCACCUUUUACAACGACAACCACCCAAAGCACACAUCCAAAUCAACAAAAGCAUGGCUUCAACAGAAUAAGUUAAAAGUUUUGGAAUGGCCCAGCCAGAACCCAGACCUGAAUCCAACAUCUGUGGGGUGAUCUGAUUAGGGCUGUGCAGAGAUGCCCUUGCAAUCUGAUACAGUUGGAAGAGUGGGCAAAUAUUACCCAUUCAAGAUGUGCCAUGCUUACUUAUACUGUAGACUCCUACCCAGAAAGACAGCGCUAUAAACAAAUCUAAAUAUUUUUGAACAAAGUAUUAGUUUAAGGGUGUGCAUAUUUAUGCAACCAGCUUAUUGUAAAGUUUCUCAUUUUUGUUUCGUUUCCACUAAAUGAUCAAAUAAAUAAAGGCUAAAGGAAGAUGCAGAGAACUUAUUACAAAAAUGUCAGUAAAACGUCAGGUUCAACAAAAUGUUUCUGUAAAGCUAAACUCCUGCAUUGUAUAUCAACUGUGUGAUGUUCAGUGCAACUAAUCUGUUGUCUUUCUAGUUUAAGAUGAUGUCAAAAAUAUUGGUUAGACUAUCAAGGGUAUGCUGGAGUUCAUAAAGAGCCAGCAGCACUAAAUCUAGAAAACAUUUUCAAGAUUGCAAAAUGAAUUGAGCAAAAAGAUUGCAACUGAAUUGAAUGACCUUCAGGCUUCUUUCUAAAGCCUUUCUUUCCGCCUUUCCCUAAAAUUCUAAACUCUGGGCUUAUAAACUUGCAAUCCGCAAAGAAGAAGCUGAACGUCCCUCUUCAACGGAGUCUUUCUUAAGCCCAAAGCCGCCUCUGGAAGGCUUUUGUGAGUUGGGGGAUAUAUCUAUAUAUACAUAUAUGCUAAUGCAUCAUUACAAAGUGGAAAACAUGAAACCUUUUUAUUUCUGCUAUGUGCCAUUUUUAUUUACAACAGCAACAAAUACACUAAUAUUUACACAUCUGAACAAAUCUAAUAGGGGUUCCCUUCGAUUAGAUCGCAAAAAUUAUUCAAGAUCCUGUAAAUAAAAACGUUUUAAAUGGGUAUGCAAAUUCUGAGCAGAUGCCUUAAAAACGGGCAGGUUUUAGAGGUUAAAAUCAGCAGUGUCUGGUCUACAGGGACCUUGGAUUAAGCUGUAAGUUACCAUAAACGUUUGAAUAUAUACAGUACCAGUCAAAAGUUUAAAACAUUUCUUAUUCAAUUCAAUGAGAAAGUGUAUCCAAACCUUUUAAUGACAAACUGACUUUCUGUUUUUCUGGAUUUCCAAAUCCUCACACAAAGGAAAAUGACCAAAUCAAUUCAAUAAAAGCAUAAUAGAAUAAGAAAGAAUGGCUAUGAUAAACAGGUCAUUCUUGUUAUAUACAGAAUUAAUUACAUUACAUUACAGGUCAUUUAGCAGACGCUUUUAUCCAAAGCGACCUACAUUACACUUUAAAUCCAUGGCUUUUUUCACAUUUUUGCCCGGGGAGUAACUAGGGGUUAGGUGGCUUGCUCAGGGACUGUCAAAGGGAUUGUCAAAAGGCAAAAUCAAAAGGCCAAGGGGCAAAAACACACAGGAACCAGGAGGGAAAACAGCAGGCAGGAAACUAUGAACAUCCACGACAAUAGACAAUGACGCGACAAGUGACACAAGAGACACACGGCUUAAAUACACAAGGGAGGUGCAGGUGAUUGGACACAGGUGGAAACUAUUAGACGAUCACGGGGGAUGACAUGACAAGGCAGGAAGUGAAGUUACCCGGGGACACGAGUGGCAGAAAACUACAAAAUACGACAGGAAGUGAACCACACGUGACAUGAUUGACUUUUUCUUAGAGCAUAUCCAGGAUCACCUGCGGGGCGCUAGAGAGCAAUUUAUAUCAACCCCACAUUUUUCGCACUUCUGAUGCAGACUCCAGAAUUCAAGAGUUUUUGAAUAUGAUAAAGGCCUCAAAAGUGUGAUUGAAGUGAUGAAAGAAUAAUAAUAAUGUUUGCAAAAACAAUAGGGACUUUCAGUUAGCGCAGGCCCUAAUAAUAAUAUUCCCGCUUCUUGCCUCAGCGUGCUAGCCUACUUUGGCUCCAAAAACACCACUUGUCUAUCUUGACAAUCUUUUUUCUGUCAGGAUGAAGGGGAAAUGUGUAAAAAUGAGUUUAUAUGUUACUAGUGAAGAAAUAAAUCAAUAUAACACAAAAAACCCUCAAAUUUCAAAUUUUGUGAAUGGCGUGAAAUGAAAUCACUAACAUUAGUAGAACUAAUCUAGAGGAGACUUUUGUCCAGGCCUCACGGCAGACAUACAACGUGAGUCACAAUCAGAAUUUUGCCAAUUCACGCCUUUCAACCACUUUUUGAAUCAUCUGAUCUUAUUGAAUCCAACUAAAACCACACGAAAAUGAGUGACAGCUUCCUUAGCCACUCAGAUGCCAAAAUGGGUAGAGUGUAAAAUGACGAUCGAGAGCGAGGAUUGACCUAAAACCUGCAAGGAAAGCGCUUGCUAGUGAUGCGUAAACAAUGGCCGCAGCACCUAUUUCGCUAAAAAACCCCAGAUUCAUUUCAUAAUUUUAUUGAAAACGUCAAAGGUCAGGGGCAUUCAUGAUUCAUUUGCUGAUUGCUGGGUGGUUAUUUUUGUUGUUGUUUGACCACGCAAACAAACCUUGUUUGUUUGCAAUCAAACCUUGUUUGUUUGCAAUCAAACCUUGUUUGUUUGCGUGGUCUUUGCUAGCGCUUCGGUGUGUUGUUUCUUUGUUAGCUCCUUGCUUCGCUGAGGAAAUGUACAAAAACACAGCUGUGUCCACAUUUCUGGACUAAUUUGCAUAUGCAGAAUAUUUUCAAAGGGAUUAGAGGAGAUUGUAGCUAAGACUAAUGUUUCAAACAGUGUGAAGCAUUCAUACAUUUGUUUAUGACGAGUACACAAUAUUUCUUAGAAUAGAAUAGAAUUUGUUUCUGCUCGGUUCUGGCUCGGUUUGGAGUCCUUUAGGGCAGUGGUCCCCAACCUUUUUUACCUUACGGACCGUUUUCAUCUCAGACAAUAUUUCGCGGACCGGUCCAGAAGGUCCAACGGGGGGGGGUAGUAGUAGUCGUUGCAGGCGGAACAACCGACGGGGGGGUAGUAGUCGCGCGCUCUGUGUUCGCUGGUCGGCGAAACUGCCGUACACGGUAAAAGGACAAGAAAAACUCCUGGUGACGCGUGGGGAAUAUGUCAGAGGGACGAGCGCACAUAAUAAGGAGAAAAUCCGGUCAAUUUUUAAAAUAAAACAUUUUUCAGAAAAAAAAAUAUAUAUAUAACAUUCCUGUGGUGCGGCCCGGUACCAAACGGCCCACGGAUAGGUACCGAUCCGCGGCC
ensembl:lncRNA